UUUUGAACGGGUAGUAUUGUAGUCAGGUAGGCAAAGCUAUAGGACCCGGACUGUAACAUUAUCCAUAAAGCCCCGUGCGUGCUACAAACUAAGAUAUGUGAAGCAUGCCACCAAAAAACUCUUCAUCAAAUAGGAAUACUUAUCAGAAAGCGAUGCGAGUUCCAAGGACAUUUCUGUUGCCGAUAAGUGUUUGAUGGAUUUCAAGGACGGAUGACUGCUGCCGAGGAUGGAGAGCAGCUCGUCGUCGGAAAGGAAGAAGAAGCGGGGGAAGGUGUUGCGCUUGGUGUCGAGGUAGUCGUUGAGUGACUUCUGGCAGACGUCGAGGCCAUCAGACAGGCCGA